rnacentral:tRNA from 1 species
GCCUGGGUGGCUCAGUUGGUUGAGUGUCUGACUUCAGUUCAGGUCACAGUCACGCGGUUCACGAGUUCAAGCCCCGCAUCGGGCU